rnacentral:snRNA from 1 species
GGAUGUGAGAACACUCUGGCUGCAACAUCUGUCACCCCACUGAUUGCCACGGUUGAUUUGGCUGAUAUGGCUGGCUAGAUGAGUGUCCCUUCCCUCCCUCAGUGUUGCAUGUGCAUGCCUCCUGAAGCUGCAUACUUGGUCAGAGAGGACAACCACCCUGAUGAAAGAGGACUAUCCCUCGGUCAAGGGUAUGUAAGUAGUUGUACUCCUCUGCUAGAACCUCCAAACAACUCUCAAGAGUAACUAAGACAGCAUCCAUCAUAAACAUCUGCAGGAAACAUGGUAAGAAGAAAUAUACAAAUACAAUUCUGCAAUUG